rnacentral:rRNA from 1 species
UACGUAGGGGGCAAGCGUUAUCCGGAAUUACUGGGCGUAAAGCGCACGCAGGCGGUCUGCCAAGUUCAGGGUGACAGUUUUCGGCUUAACCGAGAAAGGACUUUGAAAACUGGUAGACUUGAGAGCGAGAGAGGAACAUGGAACUCCAGGUGUAGUAGUGAAAUGCGUAGAUAUCUGGAAGAACACCGAAGGCGAAGGCAGUGUUCUGGCUCGUUUCUGACGCUCAGGUGCGAAAGCCAGGGGAGCGAACGGG